UACAGGGGGGGCAAGCGUUGUUCGGAAUUACUGGGCGUAAAGGGCUCGUAGGCGGCCAACUAAGUCCGACGUGAAAUCCCAAAGCUUAACUUUGGAACUGCGUCGGAUACUGGAUGGCUUGAAUUCGGGAGAGGGAUGCAGAAUUCCAGGUGUAGCGGUGAAGUGCGUAGAUAUCUGGAGGAAUACCGGUGGCGAAGGCGGCAUCCUGGACCGACAUUGACGCUGAGGAGCGAAAGCUAGGGGAGCAAACGGG
rnacentral:rRNA from 1 species